AGCUUUCACGCACACUGCAUUUUAAGGAAUAAAAUUCCUGCCAGGUACCAUUUACCUCACCUGGGUUGAGUGCAGCAUGAAAUGGAUGAAUAUCUUACUGAAGGAAAUGGACACAUGGAGUAGGAUUGGACUCAUGACCCUCUGAUUAAACAAACAUGGGUCAGAACCAAAGACCUUAUAAUAUAUUACUAGACCGAAAGCUGCGUGCGCGUUCAGCACAAAACAAAUGAGAUUAGGCUCCGCCUACCGCGAUCAUUUGAAGACAAAAAUAAGCCCUCAUUGACAUUCAUGAGCAUGAAGAUAUUCAUAAUCCGGCCUUUUCAUUGGCUAAGAGCGUCAUUAAUACGCGAUUUCCCCGAUUCUUUGUCAUCGAUACUAGUGGUAUCGUGUUACAGAAAUAAUUAUUCAUUUGACCUCAUUACGUCAUCUAAUUUAUUCAUUCUGAAACUUUUCUUUCCACACACAAAAUGGACCUACGAACACUCCGGUGAGUUGAGUUUGAAGAACAAGAAAAACAGUAGAGGUCUACCUAUAUGGUUCAAGAUGAUGAUCAUAAGUGCAUGCAUCAUUUUGCAGAUUCUCAUCCAGGAUGAUGCAGUUUUACAAUUUCCAUGGAGGUGAUUGAUGAUGAUAAAUAAUUGGUGAAGUAGGCCUAAUAGAACAGCGACUAGACCACAAAGAGAAAUACAACCUACAGCAGUUAUAUGAGCCAGGUGUAACAGAUGUUUUCAUUCAAGAAAUCCAACAAUUCAACAUUGAAGCGUCUGACUUAGGAACCACUUGAUGAAGAUGGAAAAGGUUUUUUUUUCCAAGUCCAAUUUUUCACAAAAAAAUAAUUAUCACAACCCCAAAUUCAUGACGUAUGAAAUUUCUUGUUGAUUUUCAUUAAAACUGGUUGCAAAAGGAGAAGCUAUAAACAUACAAAUAGGAGCGGCGGAGUGAAGUUGAAAGUGG